rnacentral:miRNA from 1 species
UUUUCGGGUGAGAGUGGUCCU